CAUAGGUUAAUGAGGCGAACCGGGGGAACUGAAACAUCUAAGUACCCCGAGGAAAAGAAAUCAACCGAGAUUCCCCCAGUAGCGGCGAGCGAACGGGGAGGAGCCCAGAGCCUGAAUCAGUGUGUGUGUUAGUGGAAGCGUCUGGAAAGGCGCGCGAUACAGGGUGACAGCCCCGUACACAAAAAUGCACAUGCUGUGAGCUCGAUGAGUAGGGCGGGACACGUGGUAUCCUGUCUGAAUAUGGGGGGACCAUCCUCCAAGGCUAAAUACUCCUGACUGACCGAUAGUGAACCAGUACCGUGAGGGAAAGGCGAAAAGAACCCCGGCGAGGGGAGUGAAAAAGAACCUGAAACCGUGUACGUACAAGCAGUGGGAGCCUCUUAAUGGGGUGACUGCGUACCUUUUGUAUAAUGGGUCAGCGACUUAUAUUCUGUAGCAAGGUUAACCGAAUAGGGGAGCCGAAGGGAAACCGAGUCUUAACUGGGCGUUAAGUUGCAGGGUAUAGACCCGAAACCCGGUGAUCUAGCCAUGGGCAGGUUGAAGGUUGGGUAACACUAACUGGAGGACCGAACCGACUAAUGUUGAAAAAUUAGCGGAUGACUUGUGGCUGGGGGUGAAAGGCCAAUCAAACCGGGAGAUAGCUGGUUCUCCCCGAAAGCUAUUUAGGUAGCGCCUCGUGAAUUCAUCUCCGGGGGUAGAGCACUGUUUCGGCAAGGGGGUCAUCCCGACUUACCAACCCGAUGCAAACUGCGAAUACCGGAGAAUGUUAUCACGGGAGACACACGGCGGGUGCUAACGUCCGUCGUGAAGAGGGAAACAACCCAGACCGCCAGCUAAGGUCCCAAAGUCAUGGUUAAGUGGGAAACGAUGUGGGAAGGCCCAGACAGCCAGGAUGUUGGCUUAGAAGCAGCCAUCAUUUAAAGAAAGCGUAAUAGCUCACUGGUCGAGUCGGCCUGCGCGGAAGAUGUAACGGGGCUAAACCAUGCACCGAAGCUGCGGCAGCGACACUAUGUGUUGUUGGGUAGGGGAGCGUUCUGUAAGCCUGUGAAGGUGGCCUGUGAGGGUUGCUGGAGGUAUCAGAAGUGCGAAUGCUGACAUAAGUAACGAUAAAGCGGGUGAAAAGCCCGCUCGCCGGAAGACCAAGGGUUCCUGUCCAACGUUAAUCGGGGCAGGGUGAGUCGACCCCUAAGGCGAGGCCGAAAGGCGUAGUCGAUGGGAAACAGGUUAAUAUUCCUGUACUUGGUGUUACUGCGAAGGGGGGACGGAGAAGGCUAUGUUGGCCGGGCGACGGUUGUCCCGGUUUAAGCGUGUAGGCUGGUUUUCCAGGCAAAUCCGGAAAACCAAGGCUGAGGCGUGAUGACGAGGCACUACGGUGCUGAAGUGACAAAUGCCCUGCUUCCAGGAAAAGCCUCUAAGCAUCAGGUAACAUCAAAUCGUACCCCAAACCGACACAGGUGGUCAGGUAGAGAAUACCAAGGCGCUUGAGAGAACUCGGGUGAAGGAACUAGGCAAAAUGGUGCCGUAACUUCGGGAGAAGGCACGCUGAUAUGUAGGUGAAGCGACUUGCUCGUGGAGCUGAAAUCAGUCGAAGAUACCAGCUGGCUGCAACUGUUUAUUAAAAACACAGCACUGUGCAAACACGAAAGUGGACGUAUACGGUGUGACGCCUGCCCGGUGCCGGAAGGUUAAUUGAUGGGGUUAGCGGUAACGCGAAGCUCUUGAUCGAAGCCCCGGUAAACGGCGGCCGUAACUAUAACGGUCCUAAGGUAGCGAAAUUCCUUGUCGGGUAAGUUCCGACCUGCACGAAUGGCGUAAUGAUGGCCAGGCUGUCUCCACCCGAGACUCAGUGAAAUUGAACUCGCUGUGAAGAUGCAGUGUACCCGCGGCAAGACGGAAAGACCCCGUGAACCUUUACUAUAGCUUGACACUGAACAUUGAGCCUUGAUGUGUAGGAUAGGUGGGAGGCUUUGAAGUGUGGACGCCAGUCUGCAUGGAGCCGACCUUGAAAUACCACCCUUUAAUGUUUGAUGUUCUAACGUUGGCCCCUAAUCGGGGUUGCGGACAGUGUCUGGUGGGUAGUUUGACUGGGGCGGUCUCCUCCUAAAGAGUAACGGAGGAGCACGAAGGUUGGCUAAUCCUGGUCGGACAUCAGGAGGUUAGUGCAAUGGCAUAAGCCAGCUUGACUGCGAGCGUGACGGCGCGAGCAGGUGCGAAAGCAGGUCAUAGUGAUCCGGUGGUUCUGAAUGGAAGGGCCAUCGCUCAACGGAUAAAAGGUACUCCGGGGAUAACAGGCUGAUACCGCCCAAGAGUUCAUAUCGACGGCGGUGUUUGGCACCUCGAUGUCGGCUCAUCACAUCCUGGGGCUGAAGUAGGUCCCAAGGGUAUGGCUGUUCGCCAUUUAAAGUGGUACGCGAGCUGGGUUUAGAACGUCGUGAGACAGU
rnacentral:rRNA from 1 species